rnacentral:rRNA from 1 species
UACGUAGGGUGCAAGCGUUGUCCGGAUUUAUUGGGCGUAAAGAGCACGUAGGCGGUUUGUCGCGUCGGAUGUGAAAACCCAGGGCUCAACCCUGGGCCUGCAUUCGAUACGGGCAGACUAGAGUAUGGCAGGGGAGACUGGAAUUCCUGGUGUAGCGGUGAAAUGCGCAGAUAUCAGGAGGAACACCGGUGGCGAAGGCGGGUCUCUGGGCCGAUACUGACGCUGAGGAGCGAAAGCGUGGGGAGCGAACAGG